rnacentral:misc_RNA from 1 species
UGCUUGAAAUGCAGGUGCAGCUAGACAUUCUUCUGAGCUAAAAGCAUAUUUAUUUAGUCCCGUCAAACGGAUUAUUACUUUUUGCUCUAGCUAAUAUAAAGGUCGAGUGCGCUACUAUGCUGACUGAUGCAGGAUUCACAAAGCCGUUCUGGUUUUGUAAACUCGAUCUCAAAUCAAGUAAGACUACCCGCUGAACUUAA